GCCGAAAUAUGAAAGCUCAGUUGGGAGAGCGUUGAACUGAAUCUAAAGGUCCCUGGUUCAAUCCCGUGUUUCGGCA
rnacentral:tRNA from 1 species